AUUGAACGCUGGCGGCAUGCUUUACACAUGCAAGUCGAACGGCAGCACGGGGGCAACCCUGGUGGCGAGUGGCGAACGGGUGAGUAAUGCAUCGGAACGUAUCUUCAAGUGGGGGAUAACGCACCGAAAGGUGUGCUAAUACCGCAUAAUCUCUACGGAGAAAAGCAGGGGAUCGCAAGACCUUGCGCUUUUGGAGCGGCCGAUGUCUGAUUAGCUAGUUGGUGAGGUAAAGGCUUACCAAGGCUUCGAUCAGUAGCUGGUCUGAGAGGACGACCAGCCACACUGGGACUGAGACACGGCCCAGACUCCUACGGGAGGCAGCAGUGGGGAAUUUUGGACAAUGGGGGAAACCCUGAUCCAGCCAUGCCGCGUGAGUGAAGAAGGCCUUCGGGUUGUAAAGCUCUUUCAGCCGGAACGAAACGGUCACGGCUAAUACCUGUGAUCACUGACGGUACCGGAAGAAGAAGCACCGGCUAACUACGUGC
rnacentral:rRNA from 1 species